CCUUAAAAGUAGCGAAGCGUGUGGAGUCACUGUCAGGAAAAGCCGCUAUUGCGUAUCAUGAACCCGUACCGUAAACCGACACAGGUGGAUGAGGAGAGAAUCCUAAGGCCGACGGAAGAAGCAUUGUUAAGGAAUUCGGCAAAAUGACCCCGUAACUUCGGGAGAAGGGGUGCCUACGAAUGUAGGCCGCAGAGAAUUGGCCCAAGCAACUGUUUAGCAAAAACACAGGUUUAUGCGAAACCGAAAGGUGAAGUAUAUGAGCUGACGCCUGCCCGGUGCUGGAAGGUUAAGGGGAGAGCUUAGAGGCAACUCGAAGGUUCGAACUUAAGCCCCAGUAAACGGCGGCCGUAACGAUAACGGUCCUAAGGUAGCGAAAUUCCUUGUCGGGUAAGUUCCGACCCGCACGAAAGGCGUAAUGAUUUGGGCACUGUCUCGACAAUGCAUCCGGUGAAAUUGAAAUACCAGUGAAGAUGCUGGUUACCCGCGCCAGGACGGAAAGACCCCAUGGAGCUUUACUCCAGUUUGAUGCUGGGAUUCGGUACUGCAUGUACAGGAUAGGCGGGAGACUAGGAAGAUAUAACGCCAGUUGUAUCAGAGUCGCUGUUGGGAUACCGCCCUUGUAGUACUGGGUUUCUAACCUGCCACCGUGAACCGGUGGAGGGACAACGUCAGGCGGGGAGUUUGACUGGGGCGGUCGCCUCCGAAAGGGUAUCGGAGGCGCUCAAAGGUUCCCUCAGAAUGGUUGGAAACCAUUCGAAGAGUGCAAAGGCAGAAGGGAGCUUGACUGCGAGGUCGACGGACCGAGCAGGUACGAAAGUAGGACUUAGUGAUCCGGUAGUAGAAAGUGGGAUUGCCAUCGCUCAACGGUUAAAAGCUACCCUGGGAUAACAGGCUAAUCACUCCCAAGAGUUCACAUCGACGGAGUGGUUUGGCACCUCGAUGUCGGCUCAUCGCAUCCUGGGGCUGUAGCAGGUCCCAAGGGUUGGGCUGUUCGCCCAUUAAAGCGGUACGCGAGCUGGGUUCAGAACGUCGUGAGACAGUUCGGACCCUAUCCGGCGCGGGCGUAGGAUAUCUGAAAGGAGCUGGCCUUAGUACGAGAGGACCGGGCUGGACGGACCGCUGGUGUAUCUGUUGUCAUACCAAUGGCAUAGCAGGGUAGCCAAGUCUGGAAGGGAUAAACGCUGAAGGCAUCUAAGCGUGAAGCCCCCCUUAAGAUAAGAUAUCCCUGGAGUUAAUCCAGUAAGACCCCUUGGAGACGACGAGGUAGAUAGGGCAGAGGUGGAAGUGUGGUAACACAUGGAGCUGACUGUCACUAAUAGGUCGAGGGCUUGACC
rnacentral:rRNA from 1 species